rnacentral:rRNA from 1 species
UACAUGCAGUCGAGCGGACAGAUGGGAGCUUGCUCCCUGAUGUUAGCGGCGGACGGGUGAGUAACACGUGGGUAACCUGCCUGUAAGACUGGGAUAACUCCGGGAAACCGGGGCUAAUACCGGAUGGUUGUCUGAACCGCAUGGUUCAGACAUAAAAGGUGGCUUCGGCUACCACUUACAGAUGGACCCGCGGCGCAUUAGCUAGUUGGUGAGGUAACGGCUCACCAAGGCGACGAUGCGUAGCCGACCUGAGAGGGUGAUCGGCCACACUGGGACUGAGACACGGCCCAGACUCCUACGGGAGGCAGCAGUAGGGAAUCUUCCGCAAUGGACGAAAGUCUGACGGAGCAACGCCGCGUGAGUGAUGAAGGUUUUCGGAUCGUAAAGCUCUGUUGUUAGGGAAGAACAAGUGCCGUUCAAAUAGGGCGGCACCUUGACGGUACCUAACCAGAAAGCCACGGCUAACUACGUGCCAGCAGCCGCGGUAAUACGUAGGUGGCAAGCGUUGUCCGGAAUUAUUGGGCGUAAAGGGCUCGCAGGCGGUUUCUUAAGUCUGAUGUGAAAGCCCCCGGCUCAACCGGGGAGGGUCAUUGGAAACUGGGGAACUUGAGUGCAGAAGAGGAGAGUGGAAUUCCACGUGUAGCGGUGAAAUGCGUAGAGAUGUGGAGGAACACCAGUGGCGAAGGCGACUCUCUGGUCUGUAACUGACGCUGAGGAGCGAAAGCGUGGGGAGCGAACAGGAUUAGAUACCCUGGUAGUCCACGCCGUAAACGAUGAGUGCUAAGUGUUAGGGGGUUUCCGCCCCUUAGUGCUGCAGCUAACGCAUUAAGCAC